UUUUUUUUUUUUUUUAAAUUCUUUAUUUUUGCAUUGUGCUUGCGUUUACAUACAUGCGUAUUCUGCCACAACAGCAGGAGUCAUAAUUUUAAGCGGUUCAGUUGGUGUAACAUUAUGGCAUUUGAGGUUUGCGCACAUUUUUAUUUUUAGUAUAAGACAAAAGGUGAAAGGGUGUGUGUCAGCAGGAGUGGUGUGUGUGGGUAACAGUUGUAGUUUUCAAGGUUACAGGAUGCUGUAUUAC